GGUAAAGCUAAUUCAGGAGCUGGAGGAGCCUUCAUGAAAAUGAACAGAAUACCAUCAGAAGCCUCGGACUACGGCAAAUAAUUAAUGCAGUUCAACACGAAGGGAUGCGAGGUUAUGCUGCUACACUUCAGCCAUUUGAACUCAUCCGACAUCACAGAGAAGUCGGACUUUGCGAAGGCCCCAAAACAUUCCAGCGAGGAUAUCGUAUUUACGAAGAAUGUACUCGAUAAGUGUUCCUGGCCUCGUUCCUGUCCCUGUUCCUGACAAUCGGGAACACACAGUCAGAGACGAUUGGCAUAAAUGUAGAAAGCCGUCGUUUUCGGGAACGGUUUCAGGAGCAGCUGCUGUGUCUAUUGUGUCCCUGCAUUGUCCACUUGUUUCCCGGCAUCCGUCCGACGGAUUGCUUAUACCAUGGGAUGUGAUCCGGUAAAGCAGAGAGGCGAGCAAAACACAAGUUGCAGUUAUUUCCCUUCAUAAAAUCAGCAAAAAUAACAUGAUGUGUAUCUUUUAUUGUAUAUGAUAAUUAAAUAAAGAAUCAUUCCAUAAAUA